rnacentral:rRNA from 1 species
UGGGGAAUAUUGGACAAUGGGCGCAAGCCUGAUCCAGCCAUGCCGCGUGAGUGAUGAAGGCCUUAGGGUUGUAAUGCUCUUUUUGGCGGGGACGAUAAUGACGGUACCCGCAGAAUAAGCCCCGGCUAACUUCGUGCCAGCAGCCGCGGUAAUACGAAGGGGGCUAGCGUUGUUCGGAAUUACUGGGCGUAUAGCGCACGUAGGCGGAUCAGCAAGUCAGGGGUGAAAUCCCGGGGCUCAACCUCGGAACUGCCUCUGAUACUGCUGGUCUGGAGUCCGGAAGAGGUGGGUGGAAUUCCUAGUGUAGAGGUGAAAUUCGCAGAUAUUAGGAAGAACACCGGUGGCGAAGGCGGCCCACUGGUCCGGUACUGACGCUGAGGUGCGAAAGCGUGGGGAGCAAACAGGAUUAGAUACCCAAGUAGUCCCUGAGCGGGCUGGCAAGGC